AUGGGGGCAACCCUGACCGAGCAACGCCGCGUGAGUGAAGAAGGUUUUCGGAUCGUAAAGCUCUGUUGUAAGUCAAGAACGAGUGUGUGAGUGGAAAGUUCACACUGUGACGGUAGCUUACCAGAAAGGGACGGCUAACUACGUGCCAGCAGCCGCGGUAAUACGUAGGUCCCGAGCGUUGUCCGGAUUUAUUGGGCGUAAAGCGAGCGCAGGCGGUUUGAUAAGUCUGAAGUUAAAGGCUGUGGCUCAACCAUAGUUCGCUUUGGAAACUGUCAAACUUGAGUGCAGAAGGGGAGAGUGGAAUUCCAUGUGUAGCGGUGAAAUGCGUAGAUAUAUGGAGGAACACCGGUGGCGAAAGCGGCUCUCUGGUCUGUAACUGACGCUGAGGCUCGAAAGCGUGGGGAGCGAACAGGAUUAGAUACCCUGGUAGUCCACGCCGUAAACGAUGAGUGCUAAGUGUUGGAUCCUUUCCGGGAUUCAGUGCCGCAGCUAACGCAUUAAGCACUCCGCCUGGGGAGUACGACCGCAAAGUUGAAACUCAAAGGAAUUGACGGGGGCCCGCACAAGCGGUGGAGCAUGUGGUUAAUUCGAA
rnacentral:rRNA from 1 species